CGGACGGGUGAGUAACGCGUAGGAAUCUGCCUAAUAGUGGGGGACAACCUGGUGAAAACCAGGCUAAUACCGCAUACGCCCUACGGGGGAAAGGAUGGGAUCUUCGGACCAUUCGCUAUUAGAUGGGCCUGCGUCGGAUUAGCUAGUUGGUGAGGUAAUGGCUCACCAAGGCGACGAUCCGUAGCUGGUUUGAGAGAACGACCAGCCACACUGGGACUGAGACACGGCCCAGACUCCUACGGGAGGCAGCAGUGGGGAAUAUUGGACAAUGGGGGCAACCCUGAUCCAGCAAUACCGCGUGUGUGAAGAAGGCCUGAGGGUUGUAAAGCACUUUCAAUUGUGAAGAAAAGCAUAAGGUUAAUAGCCUUGUGUCUUGACGUUAACUUUAGAAGAAGCACCGGCUAACUCCGUGCCAGCAGCUGCGGUAAUACGGAGGGUGCAAGCGUUAAUCGGAAUUACUGGGCGUAAAGCGCGCGUAGGCGGUUUGGUCAGUCAGAUGUGAAAGCCCCGGGCUCAACCUGGGAAUUGCAUUUGAUACUGCUAAGCUAGAGUAUGGUAGAGGUAAGUGGAUUUCCAGGUGUAGCGGUGAAUGCGUAGAGAUCUGGAGGAUAUCAGUGGCGAAGGCGGCUUACUGGACCAAUACUGACGCUGAGGUGCGAAAGCGUGGGUAGCAACAGGAUUAGAUACCCUGGUAGUCCACGCUGUAAACGAUGUCACUAGCCGUUGGGUCCAUUUAAGGAUUUAGUGCGCAGCUACGCGAUAGGUUGACCGCUGGGGAGUACGGGC
rnacentral:rRNA from 1 species